rnacentral:lncRNA from 1 species
CCGACUUCCUAUUUAAUUUUAACUUUAAAAAUAAGCAUUUGAGUUUUAGAUUCAAAACGUGUUUUUAUGAAUGGAGAAAAUACAUACAAUUCCUAAUCUACAUAUUCACUAUGCUCCCUAAAUUCAUUUAUAUGGUAUUAUUGGGAGCUGAGAAUGGUUUUGUCUGAAAGAAUAGCUUAGCCAGAGUAGCUUAGAUUCUAGACCAGAUCUAAAAGUAAUCUUACUUUUACAGAUAAUGAGUUCUUUUCAUUGUUCAUUUGCUUGUUUUCAGUGUAGCUCUCUGUAUCCGACAAAAUGGCGCAUAAUCAUCUGUGAAAAUUGGAGAGUGUGCUCCUCUUACUUAUAAAAAAAAUAGUGAACUGUAAAACAGCCUCAGGCAUGUCCUUCAGGAGGAUUCCAGAAUAAGGCAUUGUUAUCAUAGGAGAUGACAGUUCCAUGCAUGUUAUUGCCCCUGAAGACUUUCCAGUGGGACAAGAUGUGGAGAUGAAGACAGUGAUACUGAUGGUCCUGACCCUGUGUAGGCCUUGGGUCUGCAUGCUUCUCAAAUUGAGCUGUAACACUCACUGCUGCGGUCCAAGCCUUCAUUCUUUGAAGCCCGUGGAACCACAAACUCUUCAAUUGAUAAAAACCUUCGAUCGGAAGAGACUUCUCAUCUCAUUUCUGGGGGCCUGUCCGGGAUUUCUCUGAAGUGAUGGGAGGCGCUCCCUCAAAAGUGAAGCCACCCUUGAGGUAUAUUCUGGAUAAUUGGGACCAAUUCGACCCUCAAACACUGAAGAAGAAGUAACAUAUUUUUCUGCAGCACUGCCUAGCCAUAAUAUCCUCUUCCCGGAGGAGAUCCAUGGCCACCUGAGGGAAGUAUAAACUAUAAUACCAUCCUACAGCUAGAUCUCUUUAGUAAACGAGAGGGCAAAUGGAGUGAAGUGCCAUAUGUACAGGUUUUUUUCUCAUUAAGAGAUAACCCACAAUUAUGUAAAAAAUGUAAUUUACAUCCUACCGGGAGUCCUUAAAGCUUACCCCCAUACCCAGGUCUCCCCACAGCUCCCCCUAGUAAGGACUCUCCUUUGGCCCUAAUGGCCCAAAAGGAACCAGACAAAAAAAUAGUCAAGGAACUGAAAGGUGCCAAUGGUCUCAAUUGUGCCCCCUCCAAGCCGUGGUAGGAGGAGGAGACUUUGGCCCAGCACGAGUACAUGUCCCCUUUCCCCUCUCAGACUUAAAACAGAUCAAACCGGGCCUAGGAAAAUUCUCAGAUAAUCCUGAUGGAUACAUAGAUGUCUUACAGGGAUUAGGACAAUCUUUUGAUUUAGCAUGGAAAGAUAUUACAUUGUUGUUAGGUCAAACAUUAACUCCCAAUGAAAAAGAGGCCGUCUUAACUGCAGCCCGGAAGUUUGGGGAUCUCUGGUACCUAAGCCAGGUAAAUGAUAAAAUAACAUCAGAAGAAAGGGAACAAUUCCCCACAGGCCAACAGGUGGUUCCCAGCGUGGAUCCCCACUGGGACCUCGAUUUGUAGCAUGGAGCCUGGAGUCGCAGGCAUUUACUGACUUGUAUACUAAAGGGAUUAAGAAAGACCAGAAAAAAAUCCAAUAAAUUAGUCAAUGAUAUAAUGCAGGGAAAGGAAGAAAACCCCAUGGCAUUUUUAAAGAGGCUAAGGGAGGCAUUAAGAAAGCAUACCUCUUUGCAUCUGACUCUAUUAAAGGCCAACUAAUUUUAAAGGAUAAGUUUAUCACCUAGUCAGCUGCAGACAUUAGAAAAAAACUUCAAAAGUCUUUCCUGGGCCCUAAGCAAAAUCUGGAAACUCUAUUGAAUUUGGCAACUUCAGUGUUUUAUAAUAGGGAUCAGGAGAAGCAGGCUGAACGAGACAGAUGAGACAAGAAAAAGGCUGCCUCCUUAGUCACAGCCCUCAGGCAAUAGAACUUCGGUGGCUCUGAAAGAAAGAAAGGCUGGGCAGGCAACCCACCUAACAGGGCUUGUUAUCAGUGCAACUUACAGGGGCACUUCAAAAAGGACUGCCCAAACAAACAUAAGCCGCCCCCUCAUCCAUGUCCCUUGUGCCAGGGGGAUCAGUGGAAGGCACACUGCUCCCAAGGGCGAAGGUCCUCUGGGCCAGGGGCCACUAACCAGAUGGUCCAACAACAGGACUGAGGGUGCCUGGGGCAGGCACCAGCCCAUGCCAUCACCCUCACAGAGCCCCAGGUAAGCUUAACCAUUGAGGGACAGGAAACUAACUUUCUCCUGGACACUGGUGCAGCCUUCUCAGUUUUACUCUUCUGUCCCAGACAACAAUCCUCCAGGUCUGUCAAAUCAAAAGGGUCCUAGGACAGCCAGUCACUAGGUAUUUCUCCCACCCCCUAAGUUAUGACUGGGGAAACUUAUUUUUCUCAUGUGCCUUUCUUAUUAUGCCAGAGAGCCCUACUCCUUUACUAGGGAGGGACACAUUAGCUAAAGCAGGGGCCAUUAUAUACUUGAAUAUAGGAGAAGGAAUACCGGUUUUCUGCCCUCUACUAUUGUGAUGCUGCUUAUCUUUGGACCCUGCAUUUUUAACCUCCUUGUAAAAUUUGUCUCUUCCAGAAUAGAAUCCAUGAAACUGCAAGUGGUUCUACAAAUGGAGCCCCAAAUGACCACCACUAGCACCUACUAUCGAGGACCCCUAGACUGACCUACCAACCUGUUCUAACACCACGACACUGAAGAAGACUCCCCUCCUGAGGAACCCUCAACUGCAGAUCCCCUUCUGUGCCCCAGUUCAGCAGGAAGUAGCUAGAAUGAUCAUUGCCCAACUUCUCAACAGCACUUGGGCUUUCCUGUUGAGAGGGGGUACUGAGGCACUAAGUGGCUAAGUUAGCUAGACUUCCUGGGUCAACAGGGACUUCCCUAAGGGGACAUUCCUCUAAGCCAAAAUGAGUCAUAGCUGCAAGCUAAGGGAUUGAAACUUCAACCAAUCAAAGGGGACUUUCUCCUAAGCAAAAAUGAGUCACUGCUGCAAACUAAGUGAUUGAAACUUCACCCAAUCAUAUAGGGAGUUUAAGCUUUAGCUGCAGCCUGAUGUUUUUAACCAAUCAGGCCUGCCAACCCACAAGCAGAUAGAAAAUAAGCUAAUCCUAUGGGACAGAAAAAGGAAAAGGGGAGGAGUCAUAAGAGGAUAUAAGCAUAAGACACCCAAGCCAGAAACGGAAACCCUUCCGGGUCUCCUUCCACCACGUGGAAGCUUUACUUUUGCUUUUACUUUACUUUCACUUUAAUAAACCUUGGCGCUGCACACUCUUUGGGUCUG